UUACGUACAAGUACCGCCUGUACACGAGCGCAGUCGGUAUAGUCACCAGUGAAAACUACCCAAACAACUAUCCCAACAACCUGCAAACCGCGUACUACAUCAGGGUUCCAUACAGCGGCAUCUACAAUGUCCACCUCAAGUUCUGCUUCUUGUCAAUGGAAUGCGGUUACGACUUUAUCAAGUUCGUCAAUGUCCCGUCUUCAAGAUGGAACAACGUUGGUAUGUGUUCCUAUGCCGCGCUGCCCUCAACGCAACGGAUAUUCAGUGACAUCACCAACAACAAUGGAAUGCUCGUUCGGUUUUAUUCAGAUGUCAGUGUGCAGAGGACUGGCUUUAAAUUUGCCUACUGCAUCGAGGAUAGCGAGGGUCUCUCGCCGCGAUGUCUCGAGCGCGCGGACUUUGGAUGUUCCUCGCAAAACGAGACUUAUGAUGUUCUGAGUUCGGCGUCAUUCAGCCCCAGUCAGUACAUGGAAAAGUACGAGUGGUAUAAGCCAG